GAUGAACGCUGGCGGCGUGCUUAACACAUGCAAGUCGAACGGAAAGGCCCUGCUUUUGUGGGGUGCUCGAGUGGCGAACGGGUGAGUAACACGUGAGUAACCUGCCCUUGACUUUGGGAUAACUUCAGGAAACUGGGGCUAAUACCGGAUAGGAGCUCCUGCUGCAUGGUGGGGGUUGGAAAGUUUCGGCGGUUGGGGAUGGACUCGCGGCUUAUCAGCUUGUUGGUGGGGUAGUGGCUUACCAAGGCUUUGACGGGUAGCCGGCCUGAGAGGGUGACCGGCCACAUUGGGACUGAGAUACGGCCCAGACUCCUACGGGAGGCAGCAGUGGGGAAUAUUGCACAAUGGGCGGAAGCCUGAUGCAGCAACGCCGCGUGCGGGAUGACGGCCUUCGGGUUGUAAACCGCUUUCGCCUGAGACGAAGCGUGAGUGACGGUAAUGGGUAAAGAAGCACCGGCUAACUACGUG
rnacentral:rRNA from 1 species